rnacentral:ncRNA from 1 species
GAAGUGGAGAGUUUGAUCCUGGCUCAGAUUGAACGCUGGCGGCACGCUUAACACAUGCAAGUCGAGCGG